GGUGGCUCAGUGGUAGGGCACUUGCCUUGCAUGCAUGAAGCCCUGAGUUCGAUUCCUCAGCACCA
rnacentral:tRNA from 1 species